UAUAACUACAAUUUUUUGUGGACCCCUUUUACUUUAACAUGGAGGUGCUUUCUGUGACUUAAAAGAAGUAAGUGCUUCCAUGUUUUAGUAGAGGUGAAUCCUGAUCACAAUACUGAAAUAC
rnacentral:precursor_RNA from 10 species